rfam:Triticum aestivum genome assembly, contig: Triticum_aestivum_CS42_TGACv1_scaffold_569827_7AS
AUGAUACUCCCUCCGUCCGGAAUUUUUGUCGCAGAAAUGGAUAAAAAUGGAUGUAUCUAGAACUAAAAUACGCCUAGAACUCUAGAUACAUCCAUUUCUCCGAGAACUAAUUUCGGACGGAGGGAGUAUAAU